rnacentral:lncRNA from 1 species
CAGCAGAGGGGCUUCAGGUGGUGAAGUUGCUGUUGUUAUGUGUAUGCGUAGGCGUGAGAGAGAACAAUUUGAAAGGAAGGAGCAGUGGAGAGGAGAGAUGGACACUGUCUUUGUACCUGCUCCUGACUGCAGACCUGCUUGGAAGGCAGCAAGCAUAUGAACCCAGAGGGUGAGGCAGAGCUGGAAAUGUCAGAGAUACCACGAGGAGGCACUAGAAUUCCACAUGGCUUCCCUCCGCCAAGAAAAGCCACAUCCAACGAAGUGUCUUGACCUGAGCUGGAGCCUCGUAACAGAUGCCUCACUGAGCCAAAAUGAGCAAGAAAGAGGAUUCGAAAAGAGGACUGUGGGGGAUAUUAAUGCAAGGAGGCCACAGCGCUGCUAUGGCAAAGAGCGGAACGAUCACUUCAAAGGGACUCUGACACAGCCAAAUCCCCCCUCCACCUCGGGACAGCAUCCCUCCCCUGCCCCCAGGAGCCACAUCCAAACAAUAGCAUAUUGUUCCCUCACCCCAGCUUUCUUCCUCCGCUAAUGAAGCAGAAUACUCAGGCUCAUAAAAGAGGGAUUUCAUGCCACUGCCACAGUAUCUCCCCAUUGAAUCCUCUCUGCCUCAUUCAACGAUAGAUUACAACCGCCAUAAACAUUAUUACCAUUUUCCCCUUUUCUUCCCAAGAUGUCACUGAAACUUUCAUCCCAGACCUUCAAACCUUAGAUUUCUGUAUAGGCUAGCAAGAGAGAAAAAAAAUCCUUUGAAAUUUCAAAUAUACGUAUCUAACUCCUGCGAGGGACUGGGAAAUGUAACCAUGGAAACUAGAGCAUGCCUGUAACCAUGGAG